AUACCAGCACCCCGAGUGGUCGGGACGAUUAUUGGGCCUAAAGCAUCCGUAGCCGGUUCUGCAAGUCUUCCGUUAAAUCCAGCCGCUCAACGGAUGGGCCGCGGAGGAUACUAUAGGACUAGGAGGCGGGAGAGGCAAGCGGUACUCAGGGGGUAGGGGUAAAAUCCUUUGAUCCAUUGAAGACCACCAGUGGCGAAGGCGGCUUGCCAGAACGCGCUCGACGGUGAGGGAUGAAAGCUGGGGGAGCAAACCGGAUUAGAUACCCGGGUAGUCCCAGCUGUAAACGAUGCAGACUCGGUGAUGGGCUAGCCUUGUGCCAGCCCAGUGCCGCAGGGAAGCCGUUAAGUCUGCCGCCUGGGGAGUACGGUCGCAAGACUGAAACUUAAAUGAAUUGGCGGGG
rnacentral:rRNA from 1 species